CUGAAGUCGGACGCUUAACAGACUGAGCCACCCAGCUGCCCCCAGCAGUGAACCAUUUGUAAAGCAGGCUCACCAAGGAAUCUGCUCUCAUGGUGCACCUGUUACACUUUCUUGCUCUGGGGAUGGGGCGCUUUGCCAAAUAUCCUGGGAUUAAAUUGUCCUCUAUAGUUGUGAUUUCCCAAGAGCAAUUCAUUAAGAAAUAAUGUCAAGGUUUUUUUUUUUUUUUUGGCCUCAGAUCAAUUGCUACUAGAAGAGAAGGAAAAAGGAAAACUGCCAACAGGAGGCAUGAUGUUCUACCUCAGACAAAGGCUAAAAGGCUUUUAUUGGACUCUUCCAAGGCAAAGCUUGGUUCUGCCUCUCACACCUUGUUUACUCCCCGCUGGUGAACUGUCUAAACCUGGGAUCGUGACGGGCACUUACGUUUACAAAUAAAUAUGUUGCCUCUAUGAUCCAAUUUUGUUCUUAAAAUUAAUCUGUGUGGGAAAGAGGGAAGAGCUGUCUCAUUUCACACUGGGAGGACUGAUGGGCAGAGGGGUUCCCCGUGGGGUCCUGUUCACACGGCUAGACAGCGACAGGGCAGCUGCUGGCUUCUGGGCUCCUGGCCUCCAGCCUCCAUGAUUUAAAGAGAUCGGAAGAGCACACUUCUG